rnacentral:rRNA from 1 species
GACGAACGCUGGCGGCGUGCCUAAUACUUGCAAGUCGAGCGGGCCUCCGGAGGUGCUUGCACCUCCGGAAGGCCAGCGGCGGACGGGUGAGUAACACGUGGGCAACCUGCCUUUGAGGCCGGGAUAACACCGGGAAACCGGUGCUAAUACCGGAUACGUCCUCUUUCGCGCCUGCGAGAGGGGAGAAAGACGGUCUUUAAGGCCGUCGCUCAAAGAGGGGCCCGCGGCGCAUUAGCGGGUUGGUGGGGUAAGGGCCUACCAAGGCGACGAUGCGUUGCCGACCUGAGAGGGUGAUCGGCCACACUGGGACUGAGACACGGCCCAGACUCCUGCGGGAGGCAGCAGUAGGGAAUCAUCCGCAAUGGGCGAAAGCCUGACGGUGCAACGCCGCGUGAGUGAGGAAGGUUUUCGGAUCGUAAAGCUCUGUUGUGAGGGAAGAACAGCUUCCGGAGGAAAUGCCGGAGGUUUGCCGGUACCUCACCAGAAAGCCCCGGCUAACUACGUGCCAGCAGCCGCCGUAA